GAAACAGCUUAUCCACGCUCUCCGAUCCCGUGUCUGUUUCUCUUUCUCUCUCCAUCUCUUGAGCUGUCUGUCCCUCAUUCAUUCACUUUUCCAUCUUCUCGCUAUUGUGCCAGCUCAAUUUAAAUGUAUCUGCUCUGUAUCUGUUCAAGUGGAGAUAAUCCAUGCAAAUCAGGAACAGUGGCUUUCAGUGCUCGGUUCACAGAGAGGACUCAGCUUGAGGAGGUCACUCGUUCACAGCCGCUCCUCCUAUUAUAUUUUUCCCCUUAUUGCAGAACUGCUGUAUGUAUACAGUGACUGAAAGGACUCAAUUUACUGCAACUGCUGCCUGGCUUUACUUACAACUUUUUUUUUUUUUUAUAAAGGAACUUACCUCCAUCUGUCUUUUCAAGGGUAGAAAAGGUCCCUUCAACUCCUGAAGACAGUAAAUCACAGUUUGUGUGGUGGUUAUCAGAAGACACUUAAAGGAUUGAAUUGGAUGCUCUACAUAGCACCCUUGCCAAGAGAAUUCGGAAAUGACUUCCAGCUUCCCACAGUAAUAAAAUGACACUGUUUGGCAUCUUUAAGCUCUUCACAAUGAAGUCAGCAUGUGUAUUUGAAAUGAAAUGGCAUAAAGAUAUAUAUGGCUUGAUUAACAGCCACGAGGGAUAUUUGAAUAUACCAGUACUCUUUUAAGAGAUGGAAAAUGUGCUACAACUCAAACAUUUGCAACUGUAAGGAUAGUUCUGCUCUUGAUAUGGAAAUGAAAAUUUGUGUUUCUGAAGAAAAAAUUUUCAAAAUCUUAGCAAAUUAAACAAGCAAACCAAUUUCUAUCUCCUGCUGGCUUCUACAUAUUUUCCUAAUUUUCAAUGACAUUUUAAAUAUUUGGAUGACUAAAGUACUAUGCUGCUCAACCUAAUUUUGUGAUUUGUGGACAUCUAUUAAAUUGAAGAGCAAGGGAAAAUUACUAUUUACUCUCAUUCAUCUACUACCCUCACUUCACUAUUAUAUUUUUCAGAAUACCUCAAGAAUUUCCACUUGGUCAAUCAAAACACAGAAAAGAGAUUUAAUCACAGCACUCACCUUUUUCAAUAUUCUAACAUGCUGUCACUCACUUAUAGUCUAGAAGCAGCAUACUUUUGAAUUGUAUUACCUACUAUAUGUCAUGCACUGGAUUUAAAUCCCAUAUGGCUCCUUGUCUCAUAAAUUGACCUAAUCCAGACCAAAGCCAAUUUGCCUUCCAUUUUUCCAUCUCUACUGCUACUCCCACUUCUAACCUCUCUAGUCUCAACAUAGACAGAAAGAGAGAUUUCAUGUGGAUUACAUGUUUAUAAAAUUCUCAUUUGACAUUUAAAAUAUAAACAUGUCUGAGGGAAUCUCCCCUUUAAAUGGUGCACUUCAAUACCUCACAUAUACUAUUUGAAUGACUAACAGUCAGGUCAAAGUUAAUAUAGUUAAGAUAAAACUAUUGAUUUUUUUCUGCCAAAUUUACUUCUUCCCAUUUCAGACAAUAGUAUCACAAUAGUAUCCAGAUUCAGUUCAAAACAAAAUUGCAAUCUUAGAAUUCCUCCCCAGUUUUCACACUUACACCAUGCAUGGUAAACUCUAUUGACACCACCUCCAAAUCAUCUCAACCACUUCUAGCAUGUCAAAUGCUACAACUUUAAUCCCUACCACUCAUUUGCAAAGGGGAGGGGAACCAAAAUUUCAAUUUUUU